rnacentral:rRNA from 1 species
AGAGUUUGAUCAUGGCUCAGAACGAACGCUGGCGGCAGGCCUAACACAUGCAAGUCGAACGAGAAGCCACCUUCGGGUGGUGGAAAGUGGCAGACGGGUGAGUAACGCGUGGGAACGUGCCUUUCGGUUCGGAAUAACCCAGGGAAACUUGGGCUAAUACCGGAUACGCCCUUCGGGGGAAAGAUUCAUUGCCGAAAGAUCGGCCCGCGUCGGAUUAGCUAGUUGGUAGGGUAAUGGCCUACCAAGGCGACGAUCCGUAGCUGGUCUGAGAGGAUGACCAGCCACACUGGGACUGAGACACGGCCCAGACUCCUACGGGAGGCAGCAGUGGGGAAUAUUGGACAAUGGGCGAAAGCCUGAUCCAGCCAUGCCGCGUGGGUGAAGAAGGCCUUAGGGUUGUAAACCCCUUUCAGCGGGGAAGAUAAUGACGGUACCCGCAGAAGAAGUCCCGGCUAACUCCGUGCAGCAGCCGCGGUAAUAC